rnacentral:rRNA from 1 species
AUUGAACGCUGGCGGCAGGCCUAACACAUGCAAGUCGAACGAGUGGCGGACGGGUGAGUAAUGUCUGGGAAACUGCCCGAUGGAGGGGGAUAACUACUGGAAACGGUAGCUAAUCCCGCCUACCAUCGGAUGUGCCCAGGUGGGAUUAGCUAGUAGGUGGGGUAACGGCUCACCUAGUCGACGAUCCCUAGCUGGUCUGAGAGUAUGACAAGCCAAACGGGAGCAGAGACACUGUCCAGAGUCCUACGGUGGGCAGCAGUGGGGAAUAUUGCAGAAGGGGCGCAAGCCGGAUGCAGCCAUGCCGCGUGUAUGAAGAAGGCCUUCGGGUUGUAAAGUACUUUCAGCGAGGAGGCGUUACUCGCAGAAGAAGCACCGGCUAACUCCGUGCCAGCAGCCGCGGUAAUUG